rnacentral:lncRNA from 1 species
AUGGUUUUGAUUUUAUAUCUAGUACGGGACAGUAAUCCCAUGACUUUCAACCUAUAGUCUUUGUGUAUCAAGGUUAUCUUAUAUCUAGUACGGUAUAGUAAUCCCAUGAUUUACAAUAUAUAGUUUUAUGUAUUAAACUAUACACUGUGGUAUUCAAAUAAACUUUACUUUUAGGAAAAUAAGGGUUUUUCCUGGGAUAACUGAACUGUAUUUAACUAGAUCGUGUAACUAAUGGAUAACUAAACUAUACUUAUAAAAAAAUAUGGGAUUUUCUUGGAUAUCAAACUUUUAGGAGAACCAAAAGAAACUUGUACAUUUUUCAGAAAACAAACAUCUUAUGAACUCACCAGCUUUAUGUUAAUUUUCAAACUACUUGUAUUCUCAGGUCCACGUUAGACAGGUACCCAGCGAUCCAUUUGGCGAAGACGGAGUACGUAGAAGACACGUCUGUACUUUUGUUCGUAUGAUAUAUAUGUAUGACACUUGUAACACUUUGAUUUCAAACAAAUGUAAUAAUUCUAUGUAAUGUAAUGCUUUGUGUUUACUAUGCUUACUAUGUACAUUGGAUUUGAUAUUCAACGUGCAGUCCGCCCCGGAAACGUUUCCGCCUUGGUUUCGGGGUGUGACAUAAAGGUAGUAGAAAAUGGAUAUCUUAUGAGAGAGUUAUGAUUUUUAUACGGACUUUAGAAAUCUAAGCCUAUAAAAAUAUAAAUUUAAAAAUAAAGUCAGAAUUAGCCGACAGAGUCUAAAUAAAAGUUCUAGAUCUCGACGAUGGCUACGUAUAGAUAUAAAGAACAGAGAAAUGGAGCUCGUGUGUAGCAAUUACAGAAAUGUGUGUUAUGAGCGCGGCGUGCGCUUCUAGAAGGUGGCAACACGGAGCACAAAGAAGGUGACAUGUGGCACAAAACGAAUGGGGAGACGUCACCUUAAGCGCGCGACACGCAUGACCAAAAUUUGUCUAUAAAUAUCAUUUCACCCCUCAUUCACUUCUCCACACCCUCCAUACACUCACUCGAAUUUCCACUCUUUCUGUCUGAAAAUUUGUAAUACCUAGAAUAUUUUAGCGAAGCUUUGGAGUCUUUGAAUGCCCGACAGUUAAAAGUAAUCAUGUCAAAUUAUGUCGGCGAUUUUCCACACUUUUGUCAAAAAGUCUAUGUAACUUAAGCUACACUUGUUAGGGAAAACAGACGAUACUGGUCAAGACUCAAAACAAAUUUGAUGUCACUUGCCAAGUUCUGGGUGGCCCUUGUUAGGAAGAGAUGUGAAUAACAAGCAAAACUAUAAGCAUAGAAAGACAUAGUAUUUACGUGGUUCGGUCAAGGCGACCUACGUCCACGAGUAGGAGGGGAGUAUUCUUUAUUUCAGAGUUCUCAAAUAGAGGUUACAAGUACAAUUCACCAAAGAUUCACCUAUCACUCUAGAAUUCAAGAUACAAGACACUAGACAAAUGACUCUACAUGCAUCCUAAUUUAUACUUGAAGGAUCAAACCUAAAACCCUAAUGGGUCAAGCUCAUUUGCCCAUAAGCCCAUGACAGGUGUCAACCAAUCACAAGCCGCCAUGCAGCAUCCUCUGGAACACCUUGUGCUAUAGUGGAGCAUCAUGAUGUACAAGUGGCUCAUCAUGAACUCUAAUGGGCCAACAUCCAUCAUGGUGGCACAACAUGGUGUAAUUCUUGAGCAAUACCAACUUCUGAGCAUCCUUGAACGAUUUUGAGCAUUAUAGAGGACUUCAUACAUACUUGGCUCAUCAAGGACCAAGAUGGUCCAUCUUGCUCCAUCAUGGUGCAACAAGAAUAUAGAUUACGCAAGUGGCUUCAAUUCUGGCACAAGCACAUCAAGAUUUGAGAAACAACACCACCAUGGCGCAAUAGGAACAUGCAUGGCGCAACAAGGACAUGCAUAGCGCAAGAGUAUACCUCAUGGCACAAGAGGAAUCCUCAUGGCGCAAGAGGGAGCAUAAUGGUGCAAGAAGGAAUACCAUGGCACAACAUCCCUGAUUGCCUCAAACCACCAAAGAAGUAACAAGUUUGGACUGAUCACAAUAGAACGACCACAAGACUUUCUCAAAGUAGUGAGAAAUGUAUAACCAUCCUGCUCUUUUAUCACUCCGAUAUGUCAUCUUCUUUUAAGAUCCUAAAUCGUUCAUUACAAGCUCAUUCUCCAAAUUCUUCUUCAAGGCGGUGUUUGUUUUUUUUCCGCAGAUCUUCUUGGCCUCUUCUAUCUGCGCGGCGCAGAUCACACACAUACAUUAGUCUUCAAAGGCUGUUUUUUUUUUAAGACUGUAGACCUAAAAAUGUAUGUGCGCCCUCUUUUAGUGCAGAUGUGGACCAGUCUUCUAACAUCUUCAGACAUCUUCUAGUCUAAAAAAACACAUAUAAAUAAAAAUUUAUUACAAUAAUGGUCGUUGAAGUUGUUUAUAAAAAUAUGAAAAAAAUAAAAUAAAAUAAUAUAUGCUUAUAUUUUUUAUGCCAAAUUUUAUAAAACAUUAUUUAAUACAAUAUCGUCAACUUCUUUGAAAAAUAUUUAUGACUAGUUUUUAAUUGAUUUAAAUCAAAAAAUCAAAGUUUAUUUCCAUCCACUUAUGUAUCAAAAUCUUUGAUUUCUAACUACAAUGUUUAGGUAUAACUUUGCGACCAAAAUUAUUAGUUUUUAUUAAAUAUAUACGUUAAUUUAUACCAUUUUUAUUUUCACUUUUUAUACAAUAAUACAUAAAAGUUGAUUUAGAUUUGUUAAUUAUUUAUUACAAAGUCAUAAAUAUAUUAAAAAAUCACUUUGUAGUUUAAAAAAUUAAUUUAUUUAGAUUUUAGUUUAUUUUAGUAGUCUGCAGAUGUUAAAAAAACAGUCUUCUUUUUUCAAACUGUAAAAGUUUGGUCUACCUCUUCUGCUGCAGAGGUCCACAGAUGUGGUCCACAGACUGCAAACAUUUUGUAUCAUAAAAAACAAACAACACCUAAGUUGUCUUUCUUGGCAUCAUCACCAGACACUUUUUCCCUGGGUUGAAAGGAAAAAAGCAACAAGCAAACAACAUUCGAGCAGAAAAACUCUAUAGGCAUAUGGCAUCAAAUUUCAGGCAAUUUUAUUAUGUAAUUCCUGAAGAUCUCUAUCCUACUACAAGCAUGCAAUUCAAUCAUAAGAAAAUAACAAUGACUUGGGGGUAUACAUUCUUGCUCUGGCUGAUCAUACACAUCCCGUCUUUCCUUGGUUACUUUUGAAAACCAUUUGAAAACAAAUUGAAAACUUUAGCAGAUCCUUAGUUUGAGUCUAGAUUCACACAAAUGUUCAUCCAAUUAUCACAAAUAGGGCUCUGAUAUCAACUUGUAACAUGCCAAAAUCACGAUAAAAAUUUUCAUUUUAAAAUCAAAAGAAAUCAUUGUUUUCAAACAAACCCAUAACAAAAUCAAGUAUAAAGUACAUAUAUCCCUAGAUCAGUGUACCAUAAAUCUCCAAGAACAUGUCAUAGAAGGAUGUGUAUGAUCAGACAUUCGUCUUGUAACGAUCAGCUGAAGUACUUGAAACAUGAAUUUGAAAACUAUAAGCCAGAGCUUAGUGAGUUCCCCCAAAGUCCAACCACACAAAAAUAUAGCAACAUGCGUACUAGGUCCACAACUAACAAACUGGAUUACCCGUGAGUCCACAACAUGAGUCUGGCUUACCUUCCGGCCCAUAGCUCAUGUAUGGCUUACUCCUAAGCACAUAGCCUAUGUUUUGCUUGUUUCCCGAUUUGUUGGCUUCUGCACAUAGCAAUAUUGCCUCAACCCAACCAAACUAUGUCGACAUAUACAUGUUAGAUAGCAUAUAUCCAGUAAACAGAUAAUCAUAUAACCACUCAACAAACUAACAGACAGAUCUACAGAUCAUUGUCACAUAACAAUAUCCUGUAUACCAGGCCUCGGUUCUAACAAAUCAAUACAACAUAGUAACAUCAUCAAAACCUGGAUAGAUAACCCAGUGGGUCCACAUUGGUGCCUUCGACCCAUUAGUACAGUGAGGAAAACUCACCUCUCAGUCUGGAAAGUUAGUUAGGCAGGACACUACUCCGAAUAUCAACUCUACAAGUCACAUAUACAUCAAAUAGUGAUAAAUCUCAACUACAACUCAAAAUACCCUUUGGUCAAAACUUCCAGACCCAGCGUACUUAGCUUGUACGCACGACGUACUAUAGGCUUGACCAAAAAGCAAGUUAUUAACCUCAUACGUGCAGUGUAUGCCCAACGUACGUGCCAACCAACUUCUCCUUCUAUUAAGAGCUUAAUCCCUUAAGGGCUUUUGUCCAAGAUCUAGAUCUAGUCCCAAAAACGUAUACUUUAUGACUUUGCAUAGCUAAGAAAUGCUCAAUACUAAAAACCCUAACUUCUUAACUCAUUAAGACAUUAUAACCCAUACAUGGAAGAAAACUAAUGACCAAAUUGCAUUUUUAUGGUCUUAGACACUCCACAACAUCUGGAAUGACAAUCCAUUUGGGUUUAGAGCAUGUCAUACUCAAGAACAUCAUUGAUUGGGGAGAAAAGCAGAUAAGCAUCAAGAUAUAAGCUUUAUACCUUCCAAGAUAUUCUCAUUUCCUUCUCCUUUCUCUAUGACCAUCAAAACACACACUAAUGGGUCAAGGAUGCUCAAAAAAAAUGGAUUAGGGUUAGCUAGGGUCGAAUAUGGAGGUGGAGAUGAAGAAUGAAGAGGUUUCAAAGAGAUAAGGAUGUUUAAAUAGGGUUCAAACCCUAAAAAUUAAGGUUUGACCCUUAAACACGUACGCCCAACGUACGCAACAUGCACCCAACAUACGCAUGCAACCUCUAUUUUUCAUUAAAAUGCCAUUUGGGACCAAAUUCGCAAUCAAUUCUCAUAUCAAGUGUCCAAAGGGAAAAAGAAAAAGACCAAGUUGUUUUUACAUAGGACUCGAGGAGUCGAUUUCUAGAAUUCUAGUCUUCUACCAAGAAUCAUGAUGUCAUUUCAUUUAUAUUUCAUCAAUCAAUCACCAAUUUCAUUUAUAAAUCAAUAGUCAAUUAUUAGCCGAAAGAAAGUUUGCAAUUUUUAUUUUGUAUCUAUGUAAUGAUGGUCAAAUAUCAAUUGGAACUUACUACAAUGGUGAUUUUAAUUCCAAUCGAAAGUCCUUGAGUAUGUAAUACAUUUUCUAAAUUAACAUUUGUUUUAUUUAAGAAAUGUUAAUUUAAGAAUUAAGUAUAAUGUGUUUAACUAUUUAAAAAACAUGCGGGUUACGAAAAAGGGUUAGGAUUGGAUUUUGAAAUUUGUUAACAUUGGAUCACGAUUGAUUCGCUCCAAACUCUCCCCAUUGCCAUGUCUACCUAUAUGUGUCAUGUAUUUUACAUUAUAUCUCUUGAAAUUACGACUAAAUCUAGCUCAUACUUUUUCUAUGAAGAACUCCCUCCGUCCCAAAAUUAUUGUCCACCGACAAAAAAACACAAUUAAGAAAACAUUAAUUACCCCUCACUUUAUUAAAUGAAAUGACAAUUAUACUUUUAGUUUCAUUUAAUUCCAGGAUAGAUUAACUAAUAAUGAGGGUAUUUUGGUAAAAGGGAUAUUUAUUUUUAGAAGUAACCUAUUAUUUUAGGCAAACCAAAAUGGAAACAUGAACUAUUGAUAUGAGACGGAAGGAGUAUUUCACAUCAAAAUAGAAGAAUCCUACUUCUUGUAUAAUUAUUCUAGUUAUAACACCCAAGGCUUACAUAAUCCUCGACUUACCAAUAAUCUUAAGUUUAUGAUCCAUUCGUACCCUUCAAAUCCUCAAUCCUUGACUAAUCCUUGACUUCCUGCUAAGAUCACUUUAUGAUUUAUUCAUAGACUUAACAUUCUAAUAUCCUUCUUUUCCUUAAUGUAUAUAUCAUAUGUCUAUAAUUCAUCAUAUUACUAGAUCAUUACGAGAUAAAGUCUAAAAUUAACACCUAUUAUCCAUUUUGCACCUCAUCAUGCUAACCAUGUUGAUUAGGUCCUCAAAGCACAUAUACAUAUAUGAUGCUUGAAUAAUCAAAUGGUACUUAUUAUUACAAAGAUCCAAUAUUGUUAUUUAUCUGUUUGCGAUGUUAUUAACAUGAUAGAACAUAAUCACGGGUUACUUAAAACAUUGGUCAUUUCACUUGUAACACAUAUUUUAUCUUUCUUGUCAAUCAUUCUAAUCCUAUUGUAUUCCUACAAAAAGGCUAUAAUCCAUAUCCUUACACUAAAUAUCCACUAAUAAUAAAAUUUCUAAAUAAACUUUUUGCCGUCCGUUCAUUCUUAGCAUCCUUUACAUUGGUGGUUGUUUAUUUCAAAGUAAAAUGCAUAGACAAGAAAAAAACAAAGUUUGAUGUUUCAAUGUUGUAAGUUGUAACAGAAAGAAAAAUGUAAGUACAACACUAAAAAUUGGACAAUUUUUAAAAAUGCAAUGUACAAUAGAAUGAAUUUUCAAAUUUCGAUGUUAUAAUGUUGUAAAAGAGAAAAAACUGAAAGUACAAAGCUAAUAUAGGAAUGAAUUUUGAAGGAAAAUCUCCGAUAAAGUCCCAAUAUUUGAGUCAGUUUACAAUAUAAUCUUAACAUUUAUUUUUUAAACAGAAAAGUCUUGAUUAUCUAAUUUUAUGCAAUAAUUUGUCAUUUCUCUUCAAAAAACAAUAAGGACUGUUUCAUUAAUUUUGAUAAAAUAUAAAAUAUCCAGAACUUAUCUGUUGAAAAAAUAAAAGUUCAGAUUAAACCGUAAACCGUAAACUCACCCAAAUUAUUGAAACUUUAUCGAAGAUCUCCCAAUUUUGAAAUGUGAAAUUCUCAUAAUAAGAAAGGUGAAAGUAGAAUGCUAUAUGUGGAAGAUUUCUCAAAAUAAAAUGCAUAGAUGAGAAAAAAGAAGUUUGAUGUUUCAACCUUAUAACAGAAAGAAAAGUGAAAGUACAAUUCUAAAAAUGAACAGAUGAGGAAAAAGAAGUUUGCUAUUUCAAUGUCAUAACAAAAAGAAAACUGAAAGUACAAUGUUAAAAAUGGGACAAUUUUUUCAUAUGCAAUGUGUUCAUAAUUUUAAAAAAAAAGUAGAAUUUUAUAAUUGCAAGAUUUUCAUAGUAAACUACAUAGAUGAUUUUUGAAAAUGCAAUGUGCUAAUAAUAAGAAAACUAUAAGUAAAAUGCUAUACUUUAAUGAUUUGUCAAAGUAACCUACAUAGAUUAUAUAUAAAUAAAAAUAAAAAAAAUAAAAACGUGUAAGGUUUCAAUGUUGUAACAAAAAGGAAAGUGAAAGCACAAUGCUAAAAAUAUGAUGAUUUUUAAAAAUGCAAUGUGUUGAUAUAUAAAAUCUAAAAGUGAAAUGCUUUAAGAUAGAUGAUUUUUCAAAGUAUACUGCAUAGAUAAAAAAAUUUAUGAUGUUUCAAUGUUGUAACACAAUGGAAAGUGAAAUCACAAUAAUAAAAAUGGAAUGACCUUUGAAAGUAGAAUGUUGGAUUAUUUUUCAAUGUUAUAGAAGACAAGUGAAAGUAAAAUGCUAAAAAUGGGAGAAGUUCUAAAAAUGCAAUAUGGUAAUAAUAAGAAAACAAAAUAUUAACAGUGUCCAUAUAUGUAUCAUGUAUUAUCAUUCAUACCUUAAAUGAUCUUUAUAUCUCAUGACAUUGUGACUUAAAUCCAGCUCAUACUUUUUCUAUGAAGUAUUUAACAUCAAAGUAGAAGAUUCAUACUUCUCUUGUCUAAUUAUUAUAAUUAUGACACCCAAGUCUCAACACCUUUUAUCCAUACUUAACCUCAUCAUACUAAUUAUAUCCUCUAACAAAAAGACAUGCUUAAAUAUUUAAAUGGUACUUAUUAGUAAGAAUAUCCAAUCUUGUUGUCAUUAAUCUUUUUGCGAUGUUAUUGUUAUGACAGAACAUAAUCAUGGGAUACCUAAUAUAUCGGUCAUUUCACAUGUAAUACAUAUUUCAUCUUUCUUGUCUAAAUAUAUCUUAUUAUCAUCUGUACAUUCUUAGCAUCCCUUGAUUGGUUCAUGUUAAUUAAAAGUAAAAUGCAUAUAAGAAAACUGAAAGUAGAAUGUUACAAAAUUGGAUGAUUUUUAAAAAUUUAAUUUAAAAUGGAUGUUUUCGAAAGUAGAAUGCAUUAAAUAGGACUUUUUUUUAAAGUAAGAUGCAUAGAUGAGAAAAAGAGAAGUUUGAUUUUUCAAUGACGUUAUAGAAAGAAAGGUUAAAGUACAAUGCUAAAAAUGAGAUAUUUUUAAAAAUUCAAGGUAAAAUGAAAGUUUUUGAAAGUAGAAUGGUUAAUAUGGAGGUUUUUCAAAGUAAAAUGCAUAGAUGAGGAAAAAAAAUAUGAUGUUACAGAAAGAAAAGUUAUAGUAUAAUGCAAAAAAAUUGGUUGAUUUUUAAAAAAUCAAUGUAAAUGGAAGUUUUUGAUAGUCCAAUGCUUCAAUGGGAAGUUCUUUUAAAGUAAAAUUCAUAGAUGAGAAAAAGAGAGGUUUGAUGUUUCAAUGACGUUACAGAAAGAAAAGUUAAAGUAAAGUGCAAUAAAUGGGAAGAUUUUUGAAAAUUGAAUGUAAAAUGAAAGUUAUUGAAACUAAAAUGCUUUAUUGGUAGUUUUUUCAUAGUAAAAUGCAUACAUGAGAAAUGAGAAGUUUGAUGUUUCAAUGAUGUUAUAGAAAGAAAAUCGAAAGUAUAAUGUUAAAAAUCAUAUGAUUUUUGAAAAAUCAAAUGUGUAAAAUGGAAGAUAUUCAACGAAAAAGGUUUUAAUUGGAAGUUUUUUUAAAAAUAAAAUGCAAAGAUGAGAAAAAAGAGGUUUCACGUUUCAAUGAUGUUACAGAAAGAAAAUCGAUAGUACAUUGUUAAAAACCAGAUGAUUUUUGAAAAUUCAAUGUAAAAUGAAAGAUUUUGAAAGAAAAAUGUUUUAAUUGCAAGUCUUUUCAAAAUAAAAUGCAUAGAUGAGAAAAAGAGAGGUUUGAUGUUUCAUUGUUUCAGAAAGAAAAGUGAAAGUACAAUGCCAACAAUAUGAUGAUUUUUGAAAAUUUAAUGUAAAAUAAAAUAUUUGAAAGUAGAAUGUUUGAUUUCAAGUUUUUUCAAAGUAAAAUGCAUAUAUAAGAAAAAAAAUAAGUUCGAUAUAUCAAUGAUGUUACAGAAAGAGAAAAGUAAAGGACAUAAGUUUGAACUUAGAAUGCUUUUACGAGAGGUUUUUUCAAAGUAAAAUGCAUAGAUGAGAAAAAGAGGUUUGAUGAUUUAACAAUGCUACAUAAAGAAUAAGUUAAAGUACAAUGCUAGAAAUGUGAUGAUUUUAAAAAAAUUAAUGUAAAGUGGAAAAUUCUUAAAAGUAGAAUGUUUUAAUCGUAAGAUUUUUUAAAGUAAAAUACAUAGAUGAGAAAAAAAACGUUUAAUGUUUCAAUGAUGUUACAGAAAGAAAAGUUCAAGAUAAGUGCUAAAAAGGGAUGUUUUUUGAAAACUAAAUGUAAAAUGGAAGUUUUUGAAAGUAGAAUGCUUUAAUUCUAAGUUUUUUUAAAGUAAAAUAUAGAGAUGAGAAAAAGAAGUUUGAUGUUUCAAUUAUGUUACACAAAGAAGAGUUAAAGUACAAUCCUAAAAAUAUGAUGGUUUUUAAAAAUUGAAUGUAAAAUGGAAGUUUAUCAAAGUAGAAUGCUUAAAAUGCAAGUUUUUUCAAAGCAAAAUGCAUAGAUGAUAAAAAAGGUUUGAUGUUUCAAUUAUGUUAAAGAAAGUACAAUGCUAAAAAUGGGUUGAUUUUUGAAAUAUCAACGUAAAAUGGACGAUUUUGAAAGUAGAAUGCUUCGAUUUGAAAAAAUUUCAAAGUAAAACGCAUAGAUGAGAAAAAAAAAGAUGUUUGAUGUGUCAAUGAUGUUACAGAAAGGAAACUUAAAAUAUAGUCCUAAAAAUGGGAUGAUUUUUGAAAAUUGAAUGUAAAACGGAAGUAUUUGAAUGUAAAAUGCUUUAACUGGAAGUUUUUUCAAUGUUAAAUGCAUAAAUGAGAAAAAGAGAUGUUUGAUGUUUCAAAAAUGUUACAGAAAGAAAAAUGUAAUGAGCAAUUCUAAAAAUGGGAUGAUUUUUGAAAAAUGAAUGUAAAAUGGAAGUUUUUGAAUGUAGAAUGCUUUAAACAGAACUUUUUUCAAUGAGAAAAAGAGAUGUUUGAUGUUUUAAUGAUGUAAUAAAAAUGUGUAGAUUUUUAAAAUUUCAAUUUAAAAUGGAAGUUUUUCAGAGUCGAAUGCUUUAGUUGUAAGUUUUUUCAAAGUAAAAAUAAAUGAGAAAAAAAAGAUGUUUUGAUGUUUCAAAGAUGUUACAAAAAGAAAAAUGUAAUGAACAAUUCUAAAAUGGGAUGAUUUUUGAAAAUUAAAUGUAAAAUGAAAGUUUUUGAAUGUAGAGUGCUUUGAUUGGAACUUUUUUUAGUGAGAAAAAGAGAUGUUUGAUGUUUCAAUGAUGUUAUAGAAAGAAAAAGGUAAAGUAUAAUGCCAAAUUUGUGAUGAUUUUAAGAAAUUUAAUGUAAAUUGCAAGUUUUUAAGAGUAUAAUGCUUUAACUGUAAGUAUUUUAAGAAAUUUAAGAAAAAAAAAAGAAUGAUGUUUCAAAGAUGUUGCAUAAAGAAAAAGUUAAAGUGUAAUGCUAAAAAUGGGAUGGUUUUUGAAGAUUGAAUGUGAAAUUGAAGUUUUUGAAAGUAUAGUUCUUUAAUUGUAAGUAUUUUUCAAAGUAAAAUGCAUACAUGAGAAAAAGUUAACGUACAGUGCUAAAAAAUGAGAGAAAUCUUAAAAUCGAAUCUAAAUGGAAGUUUUUGAAAAUAAAUGCUUUGAUUGAAAGUUUUUCAAAGUAAAAUUCAUAGAUGAGAACAUGAGAAUUUCGAUUUUUGAAAGAUGUUACAUAAAGAAAAGUUUAAAGUGCAAUGAUAAAAAUUGGAUGACUUUUGAAAAUCAAAAGUAAAAUGGAAGUUUUUGAAAAUAAAAUGUUUUAAUUGGAAUUUUUUUCAAAGUAAAAAUGCAUAGAUGAGAAAAAGAAAGUUUGAUGUUUCAAUGAUGUUAUAGAAAGAAAUAAGUUGAAGUGAAAUGCUAAAAAUGGGAUAUUUUUAAAAUCGAAUGUCAAAUGGAAGUUUUUGAAAAUAAAAUGUUUUGAUUGAAAGUUUUUUAAAACUAAAACGCAUACAUGAGAAAUGAGAAGUUUGAUGUUUCAUAGAUGUUACAUAAAGAAAAAGUUAAAGUGCGAUGUUAAAAAUGAAAUGAUUUUUUAAAAUUGAAUGUAAAAUGGAAGUUUUUAUAAAUAAAAUGCUUUAAUUGUAAGCUCUUUUGAAUGUAAAAUGAAUACAAGAGAAAAAGUUAAAGUGCAAUGCUAAAAAUGGAAUGAUUUAGGAAAAUUGAAUGUCACAUGGAAGUUUUUAAAAGUAGAAUGCUUUAAAUGUAAGAUUUUUUCAAAGUAAAAUGCAUAGAUAAGAACAACAAAAGUUUGAUGUUUCAAUGAUGUUACAUAAUGAAAAUUUUAAAGUGCAAUGCUAAAAAAUGGAUGAUUUUUUAAAAUUGAAUGUGAAAUUGAAGGUUCUAACUAUAGAAUGCUUUAGUUGUAGGUUUUUUUCAAAGUAAAAUGCGUAGAUGAGAAAAAAAAGUUUGAUGUUUCAGUGAUGUUACAUAAAAAAAAGUUAAAGCAAGAUACUAAAAACGGAAUGAUUUUUGAAAAUUGAAAAGUUUUUUCAAAGUAAAAUGCAUAGAUGAGAAAUGAGAAGUUUAAUGUUUCAAAGAUGUUACAUAAAUAAAAAGUUAAAGUGCAAUGCUAAAAAUAGGAUUAUUUUUGAAAAUUGAAUGUGAAAUGGAAGUUUUUGAAAGUACAAUGCUUUAAUUGUAAGUUUUUCUGCAAAGUAAAAUGCAUACAUGAGAAAAAGUUAAGGUAUAAUGCUAAAAAUGGGAUGAUCUACGAAAAUUAAAUGUAAAAUGGAAGUUUUUGAAAAUAGAAUGCUUUAAUUGAAAGUUUUUUCAAAGUAAAAUGUAAAGAUGAGAAAAAAAAAAGAAGUUUGAUGUUUCAUUUACAAAAAAGAAAAAGUUAAAAUGCAACGCUAAAAAUGAGAUGAUUUUUAAAAAUUCGAUGUAAAAUGGAAGUUUUUAAAAGUAGGAUGCUUUGAUUGUAAGUUUUUUUUCAAAAUACACUGCAUAGAUGAGAAAUGACAAGUUUGAUGUACCAAAAAUGUUACAUAAAGAAAAAUUUAAAGUGCAAUGUUAAAAAUUGAAUGAUUUUUCAAAAUCAAAUGUAAAAUGGAAGUUUUUGAAAGUAGAAUGCUUUGGUUGUAAGUUUUUUUCAAAGUAAAAUGAGUAGAUGAGAAAAAGAGAAGUUUGAUGUUUCAAUGAUGCAUAGAGAAAAAGUUAAAGUCCGAUGCUAAAAAUGGGAUGUUCUUUGAAAAUUGAAUGUGAAAUCGAUGUUUUUGAAAGUAGAAUGCUUCAAUUGUAAUUUUUCUUCAAAGUAAAUUGCAUAGAUGAGAAAAAAAAAGUUUAAUGUUUCAAUGAUGUUGAAAGAAACAAGUUAGAGCACAAUGCUAAAAAAUGGGAUAAUUUUUUAAAAUUCAGUGUAAAAUCGACAUUUUUGAAAAUAAAAGCUGUUAUUGGAAGUUUUUUCAAAGGAAUAUGCAUAGAUGAGAUGUUUCAAUGAUGUUACAAAAAGAAAAAAAAAGAGGGGGGGGGGAUGAUUUUUUAAAAUACAUCGUAAAAUGAAAGAUUUUGAAAGUAGAAUGCCUGAAUUGGAAGUUUUUUCAUAGUAUAUAUAAUGCAUCAAUGAGAGAAAAAGAAGUUUGAUGUUUUAAUGAUGUUACAUAAAAAAAGAUUAAUUACUAUUCUAAAAAUAGGAUGGUUUUUGAAAAUUCAAUGUAAAUUGCAAGUUUUUGAAAGUAGAACGCUUGAAUUGCAAGUUUUUUCAAUGUAAAUGCAUAGAUGAGAAAAAAAAAUAAGAGUGAUGUUUCAAUGAUGUUACACAUAGAAAAAGGUAAAGUACAAUGUUAAAAAUGUGAUGAUUUUUUAAAAUUCAGUGUAAAUAGAAAAUUCUGAAAAUAAAAUGCUUUAUUUAGAAGUUUUUUCAAAGUAAAAUGCAUAGAUAAGAAAAGAGAAGUUUGAUGUUUUAAUGAUGUCACAAAAAGAAAAAUUAAAGUACAAUUUUUUUUUCAAAAUAAAAUGCAUAGAUGAGAAAAGUAAAGUUUCAAUGAUGUUAUUCAAAGAAAAAGUGAAAAGUGCAAUGCUGAAAAUGGAAUGAUUUUUGAAAAAUCAAUGUAAAAUGGAAGUUUUGGACAAAAAAUGCUUUAAUUGGAAAUUUUUUCAGAAGUAAAAUGCAUAGGAGAGAAAAGUGAAGUUUGAUGUUUCAUUGAUGUUAGAUAAAGAAAUGUUAAAGUAGAAUGCUAAAAAUGGGAUGAUUUAUGAGAAUUUAAUGCAAAACGGAUGUGUUUUUUGAAUGUACAAUGAUUUAAUGGGAAGUUUUUUCAAAAUAAAAUUAAAGCACCAUGCUAAUUGUAAAAGAAUAAGAGCAGCAGGACAUGAACAUGAACAUUGAAUUUAUGACACACAACAAAAUAUAGAGUGGUUUAGUGGUAAAACAUACCUGGAGUAUGAAAUGAAAGCAAUUUGCUAUUUCUGGAUCCCCACUAUGAAAGUGGAAAUAUACACAUUUUUUUUUCAAUGUUAAAUGCAUAAAUGAGAAAAAGAGAUGUUUGAUGUUUCAAUGAAGUUAUAGAAAGAAAAAGGUAAAGUAAAACGCUAAAUUUGUGAUGAUUUUUAAAAAUUUAAUUCAAAAUGGAUGUUUUUGAGAGUCGAAUGUUUUAAUUGUAAGUUUUUUCAAAGUAAAAAUGCGUAGAUGAGAAAAAAAGAUGUUUGAUGUUUCAAAAAUGAUUCCGAAAGAAAAAUGUAAAGUACAAUUCUAAAAAUGGCAUGAUUUUUGAAAAUUGAAUGCAAAAUGUAAGUAUUUUAUUGUAGAAUACUUUAAUUGGAAUGUUCUUCAAUGUAAAAUGCAUAAAUGAGAAAAAGUGAUGUUUGAUCUUUCAAUGAUGUUAUAGAAAGAAAAAGCUAAAGUAUAAUGCAAAAGUUGCCAUGAUUUUUAAAAAAUCAGAUUGAAAUGAAAAUUUUUGAGUAUAAUGCUUUAAUUGUAAGUUUUUUCAAAGUAAAAUGCAUAGAUGAGAAAAAAAGAUGGCUGAUGUUUCAAAGAUGUUACAAAAAGAAAAAUGUAAUGUACAAUUCUAAAAAUGGUAUACUUUUUGAAAAUUGAAUGUAAAAUGAAAGUUUUUGAAUGUAGAAUGCUUUAUUUGAAAGUUUAUUCACUGUAAAAUGCAUGAAUGAGAAAAAAAAAUGUUUGAUGUCACAAUGAUGUUAUAGAAAGAAAAUGUUAAAAGUAUAAAGCUAAAUUUUUGAUGAUUUUUAUAAAUUCAAUGUAAAAUGGAAGUUUUUGAGAGUGCAAUGUUUUAAUUGUAAGUUUUUUCAAUGUAAAAUGCAUAGAUGAGAGAUAAAAGAUAUUAGAUGUUUCAAAAAUGUAACUUACAAUUCUAAAAAUUGGAUGAUUUUUGAAAAUUGAAUGUAAAAUGAAAGUUUUUGAAUGUAGAAUGCUUUAAUUGGAAGUUUUUUUCAAUGUAAAAUGCAUAAAUGAGAAAAAGAGAUGUUUGAUGUUUCAAUGAUGUUAUAGAAAGAAAAAGGUAAACUAUAAUGCUAAAUUUGUGAUGGUUUUAAGAAAUUCAAUAUAAAAUGGAAGUUUUUGAGAGUAUAAUGNNNNN